rnacentral:rRNA from 1 species
GACGAACGCUGGCGGCGUGCUUAACACAUGCAAGUCGAACGGUGAAGGGACUGGUUUUGCUGGUCCUGGAUGAGUGGCGAACGGGUGAGUAACACGUGAGUAACCUGCCCCCUUCUUCUGGAUAACCGCAUGAAAGUGUGGCUAAUACGGGAUAUUCUGGGUCUGUCGCAUGGUGGGCCUGGGAAAGAUUGCGCCUUUUUUGGUGUGUUUGGUGGGGGAUGGGCUCGCGGCCUAUCAGCUUGUUGGUGGGGUGAUGGCCUACCAAGGCGGUGACGGGUAGCCGGCCUGAGAGGGUGGACGGUCACACUGGGACUGAGACACGGCCCAGACUCCUACGGAAGGCAGCAGUGGGGUAUAUUGCACUAUGGGCGCGAGCCUGAUGCAGCGACGCCGCGUGAGGGAUGGAGGCCUUCGGGUUGUGAACCUCUUUCGCCAGUGAAGCAGGCCUGCCUCUUUUUGUGGGUGGGUUGACGGUAGCUGGAUAAGAAGCGCCGGCUAACUACGUG